rnacentral:rRNA from 1 species
GAUGAACGCUAGCGGCAGGCCUAACACAUGCAAGUCGAGGGAGGAGCUUUCGGGCUUCGACCGGCGUACGGGUGCGUAACGCGUAUACAAUCUGCCUUUCACAUAGGGAUAGCCCGAAGAAAUUUGGAUUAAUACCUAAUGGUAUAUAGGAGUGGCAUCACAUUUAUAUUAAAGCUGAGGCGGUGAAAGAUGAGUAUGCGUUCUAUUAGCUAGUUGGAGAGGUAACGGCUCCCCAAGGCGACGAUAGAUAGGGGUUCUGAGAGGGAUAUCCCCCACACUGGUACUGAGAUACGGACCAGACUCCUACGGGAGGCAGCAGUGAGGAAUAUUGGACAAUGGUCGGAAGACUGAUCCAGCCAUGCCGCGUGCAGGAAGACGGCCUUAUGGGUUGUAAACUGCUUUUGCAGGGGAAGAAUAAGGACUACGAGUAGUUUGAUGACGGUACUCUGCGAAUAAGCAUCGGCUAACUCCGU